rnacentral:misc_RNA from 1 species
AGGGCACGUCAGUGCGUGGUGUCCAGGGUCCAAUGCAUGCCCCCCUCCCUCCCACACACACACACACUCCGUGUGGGGAGUUCAAGCAGCCCCUCCCUACCCCUGCCGAAUGCCGAGCCACUUCUGGUGCUGACAGGGCCAAGCACCCGCGACGCAGGGAGGUCAGAGCGAUGCAUCACUGCCGAUGCCGGCGGUCAGGUCCUGGAUGGCGCGAUGCGUCUGAGCGACCUGCGACAGCGUGAGCAUGCUUGCACCAUCCAUACGAUGGGCACGAGUGCCGACCUGACUGGAACGUAUCCCACACACACCCGGCCCUCAGGCUGCCUACCGGUGGGGGAGCCUGAGCCACCCCGAUAGGGGCGCGCCCAGUAGCGAGCGGCAUGAGGGGCGCGGCUGUGAGGCGACCUGCGAGGCGGGCGGGUGGGUGGGCAUGGUACGGGGCAGGGGCCGUGCUCAGACGACUGAGUCGGCGCAUUUGGUGUAACGAGUGUCUACGGCUGCUUUGCACCGCAAGAUGGGCCACUGUGGCAGACCGGGCAGAGUAGAGCUUAGCUCAUGUUGUGUGGCAGAGAAUGGACACGUUGAACGAGUGCAAAGUAACUUAUGCCGUCCCCUUUCAUCGAUGUUUCUCUGGUCUUCUUUCCUGGUGAUGACCGCG